rnacentral:rRNA from 1 species
UACAGAGGUCCCAAGCGUUGUUCGGAUUCACUGGGCGUAAAGGGUGCGUAGGUGGUCGGGUAAGUCUGAUGUGAAAGCUCUGGGCUCAACCCAGAAAUGGCAUUGGAUACUAUCUGGCUAGAGGAAUGGAGGGGGGACUGGAAUACUUGGUGUAGCAGUGAAAUGCGUAGAUAUCAAGUGGAACACCAGUGGCGAAGGCGAGUCUCUGGACAGUUCCUGACACUGAGACACGAAGGCCAGGGGAGCAAACGGG